CUUCACCGAGCCCAGCCACAGCGGUCGGUCCGGCGGGUGCGCCCGGCCGUAGGUGGCGAGCAGCGCGCGGGCCUC
rnacentral:antisense_RNA from 1 species